UAGCGAGUGGUAGGUGUGGCCUUUUUGGAAGAAGUGUGUCACUAUGGGGGGUGGGAUUUGGAAGUUAGCUCAGGCUCCACCCAUUGCAGAAGAAUCACUGUCUUCUGGCUGCCUUCAGAUCAAGAUGUAGAACUCUUAGCUCCUCCAGCACCAUGUCUGCCUGUGUGCUGCCAUGUUUCCCACCAUGAUGAUAAUGGACUGAGCCUCUGAAACUGUACGCCUUGGUCAUUGUGUCUCUGCACAACAUUGGAAACCCUAAGACAGUCAGGAAGAAGUCAUGGAUGCUGCUGGGGUUCAGCUCAUCUCCUUUGUGUGCUGCCUGGGUCUCCAGUCUCUAGAGAGAUCACCCCAAUUAAUCUGAUGUACAUAAUGGCAAAAGAUUUAUCUCCAAGGUGAUUCCAGAGUGUGUCAAGUUGACAAUAUAAAUCAUCAGAGACUUUUUUUCUAAGACUUGGGAAUCUUAGACCCAGGAUCUUCAAACCCAACCACCACACUGUAAGAACACCUGCAGGGAUGUAGGUCGACAUUUCACAUCACAGCUUUGGUGGGGCUCCUAGUGAGCACUCGAAAUCAAUGAAAACGAGAGCAAGAAUGAUUCAACGUGCUUCCAGCACCGGCUAUGAAAGAAAGCUCGAGAGAGAUUGCCCAGCUAGAUGAAGGACACCAGAAUCUGAGAAGCUGAUGCAACAUGACCAGCCCCCUCAGAUUCCUGCUGCUGCGGCUUCACUGCUAUAAUGGACUGUAACCUGGAACUGUGAGUUAGGUCUGGAAAAUUCCUGUUUCCUGGGGUUAAGCAGGAAAUCUAAGGAAAUGAAAUGGACCCAUGUUUAAGGUGGGGUGAGAGAGGAGAAGAGAGAAGAGGUAGACAGUUUGCUGGACAGCCCACUUGUAGAAGCUGUGACCAUUGUGACAGUAUCCUGCUUCCUGAAGAUCAAGAGGUAGAGCCCUCAGCUCCUCUCCAGCUCUAUGUCUGCCUGCAUACUGCCAUACUUUCCACCAUGAUGAUAAUGGACUAAACCUCUGAAACUGUGGCUCCCUAACACAAUGGCAAGAAACAGAUUUUUUGAAAACUAACAAACCAUGCAAUUCCCACUAUGCAGCGUCCUAAAGACAAUUUCUCUACCUGAAUACCACCAUGAUGGGACACCCCUUCCUGAUGAUAAUGGACUAAACCUCUGAAGCGCAUCCAACUGUUCAUAUUGGGACCUUCCUGAACAAGGCAACCUGUAAACAACUGCACAGUGAUCAUCCUGCUGCCACCUUCUACCUUCAGUUCUGAAAUUAAAAAGCUGUAAAAUGAAUAUCCAGAAAGGCACAGAAUCUAAGACACGGCUCCUUUCAAUUAAGGGUAGCCUGGGACUUUAAAAAAUGUGAUCCAUCAGAGUACCACCCUAUGAAAUGGUCAGUCCUAAAGGGUCGAGACCCACCGGUUGAGAACCUCUGCUCUUGAGUGUGCUGCUUGGCACCAGAACUAGGAAAAUGGACAAGACUUUGCCCAAUACCCAGUCAUCUGGUCCAGUGGAACAACACACUGAAACGUCCAGCUUUGCCUGUGCUUCUGUAGUGAUGCAGAGAAGACACUACCUAGUGGCUUCAAAGCCAUGAAAGUGAAUCCAGCUGCCAUGGAUCCCACAGAGAGAAAAUGGCUUGGAACAAAGGAUAAGGUUAAAAAGUAGAUACUUCAGACCUAUGACUCCACAGGGAUUAUCAAUCAUCCCAAAUGCCACCCCUCCUCCAGAAACAGGUACCACUAGGGCAUUGGGGGACAGGAGAGUAUCAACCUUCCCUGGUUAAUGCCUGGUUUACAGAUAGCUCCGCAAUCCAUAAACAGAAUGUGGUCUUGUGGAAGGCAGCGGCCUACAGACCAGGGGAUGGAGUCGUGAUCACAGAAGAAGGAACAGCCAAAUCUGCACAACUUGCAGCAGCAGUAGCAGCAGCAGCAAGGCAAAGCUUCAUAGAAAACCAAAUGUACUGCAUUUGUUCACUGACCCAAGUUACAGAAGACCAAAGUGCGCAUGGGUAUCCAACUCAAAUCCUUUCACAACUCAGAACACAGCCCAAGAAGAGCUGAGCGCUUUCUCCUCCUUGCCUCUGUCUGUGAGUGUGUGCAUACGACGCUCCUGAUGAGGAAGGCUAAGAACUUGGAAGCCUGUUGGCUUAUGCAGUAGACCCAUCUGUGCGGGGCUUGUCUUUCUCAGUGACCUUGGAUCCUGAGAUGAUAAGGUCAAGUAAGGAAGAAAAACCAAAGUUCUCCAGACAUGGCUGUGCCUCGUUUGUUUGCGCUUGCUUUUGUUUAGGUUUUCCUGCAGGAGUUCCUGGAUGGCUGAUCCUUUCUGCCUAGAUUUUGGAAAUACUAUAAUUAUGCUAAUUAAGCCAACUGAUUGAACAAAUGUAAAGCGCUUAGAAUAGGUUCUUGGAUGUUAGAGGUCCUCACGGCAAAUUAAUCACAGUGCUGGAAUUUGAGGUAUGUGCCACCAUCAACCAUCAGAGCUGUGUCUCUUUAAAUGUGGUCUGCCCCAGCAUCUUGUGGUUGAAAAUGGACCGACUCCUAACAUGUGAAACUGUAAAGUUUAAGAAAUCACGACCUCUGGAAGAGCAGCCAGUGCUGUUAACCACCGAGCCAUCUCACCAGCCUGGAAGUUGGUAUUCUUUCUAAAACAUUUUUUUAAUUGGUUCUUUGUGAAUUUCACAUCACGCACCCCAAUCCCACUCAUCUCUCCCUCUCCCCUCAUACUGACCCUCCACCCUUGCAACCUGCCCCACAACAGAGAGAGAAAAAAAAGCCUCAUUGUGGAAGCAGUGUGUCACAGUGUGUCCCCACUUCUUUGCUUGCAAAUGUUCAUUGCAAUGACUUAAUGGUCUGGUACGAGGCCUCUGGCUUCUGCUAGUCUAUCAAUACUGGAACCUCACUGGGACUCCUCUUGGAUUCCGUUGUUGCCCUGUGUCAUGGAGAUUCUGUAGUUUUGGAUCUGUAGGACUUGUUCCUUCAGGCACUCCAGCAGUUCAUCAACAGGGUAGAUGUUAGAGUGGGACAAUUCAAAACCCCAGAUCUGGGCCUGAGAGGUAUUUGAGCUGGCCAGCCUGUAAAAUCUUCCCCUCUCUGGUGACCCUGGCCAGUAGGCUGAAGACCGAUGCUCCAACAUGCUGAAGUAAGGGACCGUCCAGGGCUUAUUUGGGUUGGAGAUUUACCACAACAGCUGCAGUCUGGUGCUUGGCUAUCUCAGGUGUUCUUCUUGUGGGAUUCACCCAAGUGGCCCCAUGCAAGCAUCAAUGGUCUCAGCUUCACUUCCACCUGAGCCCGUGGCCCUAGGUGGGGCAAAGGACCGAGAGAACCGGAGGUCUCACCGCUACUAAGACAAGAGAAGUCUGCAAGGGUGACAAGAACUACUAAUGAUGAAAGAUGUCAGCAAGACUACAAGAAGGAAACACUAUCUGAGUCCAGGGGAAACACCACCCCAUGUCUAGCAUGGUAUACUGCUCCUUGGAGCUCCAUAGAAGACUCACAACCAUCUGUGAUGGGAUCCGAUGCCGAUGCCCUCUUCUGGUGUGUCUGAAGACAGCAACGGUGUACUCAUAUACAUAAAAUAGAGAAAUAAAUCUUUUUUUUUUUUUAAAU
rnacentral:lncRNA from 1 species